rnacentral:rRNA from 1 species
GGCAGGCCUCAUGCAUGCAAGUCGAGCGGUAACAGCAGGAGCUUGCUCCUGGCUGACGAGCGGCGAACGGGUGAGUAACGCGUAGGAAUCUACCUAGUAGUGGGGGACAACCCGGGGAAACUCGGGCUAAUACCGCAUACGCUCCUCUUCAUUAGAAGAGGAGGAAAGCGGGGGAUCUUCGGACCUCGCGCUAUUAGAGGAGCCUGCGUCGGAUUAGCUAGUUGGUGAGGUAAAGGCUCACCAAGGCGACGAUCCGUAGCUGGUCUGAGAGGACGAUCAGCCACACUGGAACUGAGACACGGUCCAGACUCCUACGGGAGGCAGCAGCAGGGAAUCUUGGACAAUGGGCGCAAGCCUGAUCCAGCCAUGCCGCGUGUGUGAAGAAGGCCCUAGGGUUGUAAAGCACUUUCAGUGGUGAAGAAACGCUCGAGGCUAAUACCCUCGAGUAUUGACGUUAACCACAGAAGAAGCACCGGCUAACUCCGUG